UCAUUUCAGAUUUUCUUCCCUUUUAUUGUGUAUGGCAUAGUCAAGAUGAAAAACACUCGGUAAGGGAGUCAAUUUUCUUUAAAAUGCAAAGUAUAUAGGUAAGAUCCUUGUUGGAAAGAUUUCUCCUGUGCCACUGUCUGUAGCCUGCCAGCUGACCAAGUAGAGUCACAACUGUUUAUUUUCUUAUGUUUUUAGAAAGGAGAUCAAGCACUAGUGAUUUUUAGAAAUGGCGUAGAGCUGAAGGACUACUGUUUAUCCACUGUUGCUGUAUCAUCUUUGCUUUCCAAUUUCUCUAGGUAAUGCCUCACAAUCUGGAAAUAAAUAAACAAAUCUUCUCAUCGCGCUCACCAUGUGGUACUGUAAUAGUAGCUUCUUUCUCAAAAAAGGACAGACCUAUUGGCCCUCACCUCAUUCAGCUCUCUCACUAUUUUAUCUUAGGUUGUUCACAAUUGACAACUAGCUACUUGUAAUGCAGAUUAUGCAGGCUAUGCAGCGUCUGAGGAGGAUAACAGAAAUAAAAAAUAAAGGUGGAAGAGCCCUCACUUUGGUUCAAAUGAAAACUAGAAUUAAUGUGUCCACUUUAAAUGUCCUUCAGUAAUAUUCUCAUCGCUGAAUAAAGAUAAUUUCAACUAGUAGCCAAACGUAGAGGCUGUAUAGAACUACGGAGUCACGAUCACCUGAAGCAAGCACUGAGACAGCCCUGGGAGCACAGGUGAAGGCGAUCCAGCUGUGUGACCAGAAAGGAUGGAGCCUGGCUGCACCUCUCUUAGACCCCCCAUUUAAGGACUGACUGCCACAGGGGAAGGGUCUCUCUCUGGAGAUCCCUCCUCUUGGAGUUUUUCUUGCAAGCCCAGGACACGGAGAGUUUGCACAUGGAAGCGUGACUGUGCUUGCAGUUCUGCAGUACAAAAGGCAACCAGGGGAUAAUCAAGGAAAAAACUGCCUAGGAUGUCAGGGCUGGCCACUGAUGGGGAAAAAAAAAUGAAUCGGGUGAGAACUGAGUGAAGUGUAAGAAACCAAGCACAGAACUCCACGGCCUUGAAGUCUGAAAAUGAAACACUAAAAACAGCAAGCGUGAAACAACUACAAAAACUGUGUUGUUCUUACUGUACAGAUUUCCC